rnacentral:rRNA from 1 species
UACGUAGGGAGCAAGCGUUAUCCGGAUUUAUUGGGUGUAAAGGGUGCGUAGACGGGAAAACAAGUUAGUUGUGAAAUCCCUCGGCUUAACUGAGGAACUGCAACUAAAACUAUUUUUCUUGAGUGCUGGAGAGGAAAGUGGAAUUCCUAGUGUAGCGGUGAAAUGCGUAGAUAUUAGGAGGAACACCAGUGGCGAAGGCGACUUUCUGGACAGUAACUGACGUUGAGGCACGAAAGUGUGGGGAGCAAACAGG